rnacentral:rRNA from 1 species
UACGGCGAGUGAAGCGGGAAGAGCUCAAAUUUAAAAUCUGGCAGGCUACGCUUGUCCGAAUUGUAAUCUCGAGAAGUGUUUUCCGCGUUGGCCUGUGUACAAGUCCCUUGGAACAGGGCGUCAUAGAGGGUGAGAAUCCCGUCCUUGACACAGACACCCAAUGCUUUGUGAUACACUCUCAAUGAGUCGAGUUGUUUGGGAAUGCAGCUCAAAAUGGGUGGUAAAUUCCAUCUAAAGCUAAAUACUGGCGAGAGACCGAUAGCGAACAAGUACCGUGAGGGAAAGAUGAAAAGCACUUUGGAAAGAGAGUCAAACAGUACGUGAAAUUGUUGAAAGGGAAACGAUUGAAGUCAGUCGUGCCUGCCUAGUCUCAGCCUUUUGGUGUACUACUAGGUCGGCAGGUCAGCAUCAGUUUGGGAGGAUUAACAAGGGAGCUAGGAAUGUGGCAACCUCGGUUGUGUUAUAGCCUAGUUUCGCAUUGAUCUUGCUGGACUGAGGAACGCAGUGCGCCCGCAAGGGUUGGUCUUCGGACACAUUCGCACUUAGGAUGCUGGCAUAAUGGCUUUAAACGACCCGUCUUA